GACGAACGCUGGCGGCGUGCCUAAUACAUGCAAGUCGAACGCAGUGGGGGCGGGUGAGUAACACGUGGGUAACCUCCCAUCAGAGGGGAUAACACUUGGAAACAGGUGCUAAACCGAUACUGAUGGAUGGACCCGCGGGGCAUUAGCUAGUUGGAGAGGUAACGGCUCAACAAGGCCACGAUGCAUAGGUGACUUGAGAGGGGGAACGGCCACACUGGGAGUGAGACACGGCCCAGACGCCUACGGUAGGCAGCAGUAGGGAAUCUGCGGCAAUGGACGAAAGGCUGACCGAGCAAAGCCGCGUGAGUGAAGAAGGUAUUCGGAUCGUAAAACUCUGUUGUUAGAGAAGCGGUAUCUAACCAGUAAGCAACGGCUAACUACGUGCCAGCAGCCGCGGUAAUUC
rnacentral:rRNA from 1 species